rnacentral:rRNA from 1 species
GGUUCGAAGGCGAUCAGAUACCGCCCUAGUUCUGACCGUAAACGAUGCCACCUGACGAUCCGCCAGGGUUACUACCAUGACUCGGCGGGCAGUCCCCGGGAAACCCAAGCCUUCGGGUUCCGGGGGAAGUAUGGUUGCAAAGCUGAAACUUAAAGGAAUUGACGGAAGGGCACCACCAGGAGUGGAGCCUGCGGCUUAAUUUGACUCAACACGGGGAACCUCACCCGGCCCGGACACCGCGAGGAUUGACAGAUUGAGAGCUCUUUCUCGAUUCGGUGGGUGGUGGUGCAUGGCCGUUCUUAGUUGGUGGAGCGAUUUGUCUGGUUAAUUCCGAUAACGAACGAGACUCUAGCCGGUUAAGUAGCCCGAGCGGUUUUUGAUAUUUGCCGUUCAUCCCCGUUCGACCUUUGCGUCGUCCCCUUUUUUUCGGUCCGUCUCCCUCCUUUUUCCUUUUCUCUUCCUUUCCCGAUCGACCGCCGUCCCGUCCACUCAUUCGACGGGUGCCGGCGGUUUUCUCGGUUUCGAGGGGGGCGGGCGGCGGAACGGUCCGGUCGGGGGGGUAUACGCUCGGUCGUUUCCGGGUGAAAGCAUAACCCAAGGCCGACGGCUUUUAAGGAAGCUUCUUACAGGGACGAGCGGCGAUCAGCCGCCCGACAUUG